AAAGGAAUAGACGGGGGCCCGCACAAGCAGUGGAGUAUGUGGUUUAAUUCGAAGCAACGCGAAGAACCUUACCAGGGCUUGACAUAUAGAUGAAUAUAUAAGAGAUUAUAUAGCUCUUCGGAGCAUCUAUACAGGUGGUGCAUGGUUGUCGUCAGCUCGUGUCGUGAGAUGUUGGGUUAAGUCCCGCAACGAGCGCAACCCCUGUUUCUAGUUGCCAGCACGUCAAGGUGGGAACUCUAGAAAGACUGCCGUAGAUAAUACGGAGGAAGGUGGGGAUGACGUCAAAUCAUCAUGCCCUUUAUGUCCUGGGCUACACACGUACUACAAUGGCUGUAACAGAGGGAAGCAAGCUAGUGAUAGCAAGCGAAACCCAAAAAGCAGUCACAGUUCGGAUUGAAGGCUGAAACUCGCCUUCAUGAAGCCGGAAUUGCUAGUAAUGGCAGGUCAGCAUACUGCCGUGAAUACGUUCCCGGGCCUUGUACACACCGCCCGU
rnacentral:rRNA from 1 species